rnacentral:tRNA from 1 species
GUGGGUGGCUCAGUGGUAGAGUGCUUGCCUUGCAUGCAUGAGACCCUAGGUUCAAUUCCUCAGCACCACA